CAAGUCCAGGUGUCCGUUUGGACUCUGUAAGGCCUCGUCCACAGCUCUCUGGUAAAAAAACAACUGAAUAAUUUUAGAACGGUUCAGUCCAAUGGGAUGUUGUUUGUUGUUCUUCCAGCAGGUUGAUUCCAGAGUUGAUGAAGGUCUGAUGGACAUGAAGAGCAGCCAGAAACUCCUGAACACUCAGAUGGACUAAGCAGAACACCUUGUCCUGAUCGUCUGAAAUGAAGGGGAUGCUCCUUUGACCAGUCACUCUUCAUGGACACACAGCUGGAUCCAGGUAGGUCCAGGUCCAGGUCCAAGCCCAGAUCCAGGUCCAAGCCCAGGUCCAAGUCCAACAGAGUGUGUGUUUUGCUGCUCAGGGAUUCAACACACAGAGCUGUGAAUGUGAAUAAUGACAGCAGUGAUGUGAUGCGGAGCUCUGACAGUUAGAGAUGCUCAUCUCACCUCUGAGCUUUGCUCUGGUUCUCCUGUUCCCCACACAGAGAUCUUCCCUCCUCU
ensembl:lncRNA